AGUCUCAUGGUGUAAUGGUAGCACUACAGUUUUUGGUACUGUCUGUCUAGGUUCGAAUCCUGGUGAGACUA
rnacentral:tRNA from 1 species